rnacentral:lncRNA from 1 species
UCAUCUAAAUAAAGGUAUCUCCCUGCACAAACAGUCCGUUUUAAGUGCAAUGAACCUUGCAAAAUCCUCCUAGAACCCAAAUCUAAUUCAGGUAGAGUUGAAAAGUCGACAGUAAAAACUGGGAUCAAAAGUUUCAUCUGGGAAUAAGUUUUUACUAAUUUCUCUGCUGUCCUCUGCCAGCAACAAUGUCAAGCGCUGUCUUUAUUAUAAUACAUUUCCUAGAAUCUAUAAGAAGUCUGCUCUACCUUGCAGGUUUGGCCGCCCGUCCCAAGCGCUGGACACCAAAACUAUGGAGACGGAACAAAAUUUGGCCUGUAGGAAAUAAAGAUUCUGAUGAACAUCUUGAGGAAUCUGCACAGAGCGAUGUGGAGGAGAACAUGAGAUCAGAACUUGUAAGACGUAUUUCUUUCUCUGGAAGAGAAAUUUAUUUUGUUUUUUCUGGGGUCACUAGAGGUUAUGACCAAAUGAGGCCUGAUUGACGAUGGCAGUCAAAGGACGGCAUCACUUACAAACUGUUUGGUAGUGAGUGUAUUUCUCAGUAGCUACCUUUUCUCCCGGAAAAAUAGUUUUGUAUUUGCCAGCCAACAUGGACACUUGCUAAAUAUUCCCCAAAUAAAACUCACUGCAUUUUCCACAAGCAUCCUCUAUGCUUUCUUUCGGGGCCAGUUACCUGAUACUGUUUUGUUUUUUUCUCUUAAUGCAGAGAAAGUCGAACGCCCAGGGUAACCUCUGUACGUAUUCUUUUUUUUUUUUUUUUUAACAGCUUUAUUUAAACGUAGUUGACAUGCAAAACAAUGUACCCAUUUAAAGUAGGUGAUUCAGCGUUUUUAGAUCUACUAACAUUCCCACAUCUCAGAAUAGGGAACUGAGGCACAGAGGGGUUCAUUUCACUCUCCCACGUAUGUGCAGAUUCUAAGUAGCAUUUGAUCCCAGGCCAUUCUUGGUGACUUGGAUAUGCGGCUUUUCUAUAUUGUCUCAUCUAAAUAAAGGUAUCUCCCUGCACAAACAGUCCGUUUUAAGUGCAAUGAACCUUGCAAAAUCCUCCCAGAACCCAAAUCUAAUUCAGGUAGAGUUGAAAAGUCGACAGUAAAAACUGGGAUCAAAAGUUUCAUCUGGGAAUAAGUUUUUACUAAUUUCUCUGCUGUCCUCUGCCAGCAACAAUGUCAAGCACUGUCUUUAUUAUAAUACAUUUCCUAGAAUCUAUAAGAAGUCUGCUCUACCUUGCAGGUUUGGCCGCCCGUCCCAAGCGCUGGACACCAAAACUAUGGAGAUGGAACAAAAUUUGGCCUGUAGGAAAUAAAGGUAGUGUGGAAAUUAAAUCAUUAAGUUCACUCAAGCAAAUAAUUCCAGUUUAUUCAUUCAGUGCCCCACAUUAGAGAAACUCAGUAAAUGCUGUGUCAUGUUCUUCAUUUAUUUCAUUUGUGCCAAUUUAUGCAUUAAAUCAAUAGUGGGUGAUACAACUACACAAGUAAAGUAACACUGACAACUUAGAGUUCAGUUCUUUUUUUUAGUAUUUUAUUUUUUUGUAAAAAGGUCACCUUUUUCGCCCAGGAGUGCACUGGUGCGAUCACAGCUCACUGCGAUCUUGACCUCCCCAGGUUCAGGUGAUCCUUCCACUCAGCCUCCCAAGUAGCUGGCCAUAAGUCACAUGCCACUAUAACAAGUUAAUUAUUAUUAUUAUUAUUAUUAUUGUUAUUGUAGAGAAGGGAUUUCACCAUUCUGCCCAGGCUGGAUUCACUUUUGACAGUAAAGGACAUCUCAAACGUUUAGACAUUUGCUUUCAGUUUGGUCAAUUAUGAAUACAGCUAUUAGAAACCUUCCUGUGUCUUGUUUGGAAACAUAAUUUUUAAAAUGUAACUGAGGAAAUACUUCGGAUUAUGAUUACUUGCUUGUA